GACGAACGCUGGCGGCGUGCCUAAUACAUGCAAGUAGAACGCUGAAGAGAGGAGCUUGCUCUUCUUGGAUGAGUUGCGAACGGGUGAGUAACGCGUAGGUAACCUGCCUGGUAGCGGGGGAUAACUAUUGGAAACGAUAGCUAAUACCGCAUAAAAUGGAUUAUCGCAUGAUAAUCCAUUGAAAGGUGCAAAUGCAUCACUACCAGAUGGACCUGCGUUGUAUUAGCUAGUUGGUGGGGUAACGGCUCACCAAGGCGACGAUACAUAGCCGACCUGAGAGGGGGAUCGGCCACACUGGGACUGAGACACGGCCCAGACUCCUACGGGAGGCAGCAGUAGGGAAUCUUCGGCAAUGGACGGAAGUCUGACCGAGCAACGCCGCGUGAGUGAAGAAGGUUUUCGGAUCGUAAAGCUCUGUUGUAAGAGAAGAACGAGUGUGAGAGUGGAAAGUUCACACUGUGACGGUAGCUUACCAGAAAGGGACGGCUAACUACGUG
rnacentral:rRNA from 1 species